UGUGGUUUGGCAUUGGAAAAUAGAGAAAGGGUAUUGCACAAAAGGUUAAGAUUCCCUGCACAAGGCUCCAUUUUUCCCCCCUUCAUCUGGCUGUGCCGUAGGGACACUGUUUUGAUUGGCUAUGAACACUAGGCUCAGGGAGACUUUCCCACUAAAGGGUCGCACCCGGUUUCGUGCUACAGCUUAUUGUUGCACAGUAAAGAUUGGUUUUUUUUUUUAAUUGAUAUGUUGGGAUUUGGUGCAUCCUCAAGUGGGUUCCUUUCUUUGUUCUUCCCAAUGGUGGAGGGUAAGGUUAAGAUCUGAUGAAGGUGGAAUAUCUGAUUGCAUUAACGAGCUUUAUUUCUUCAGGGCAAGACAAUUGAAAGGGAGGAGAUUGCUGAAGAAUUUUCUUGUUUUCUAGCUUAGCUAGCUAUUCAUUGGGGGUACGGCUUGGCCC